ACUUUACUUUCCUGCACAAUUAGCACCAUUUAGUGUCCAUUAUGUGUUAUAUCUUUUACUAAAAUAUUUUUCAGGUAGGUAACAUUGGUGGGAAAGAAUUUUCUGAGUCACUAGCCCCAGAUGUCCAGAAACUUCUUAUUUCAAGUAGUGGCCGUCCUGUUGUCAGAAAGAAGGCUGCUCUAUGCCUUCUGCAGCUUUAUAGGAAGAAUCCUGAUGUUGUGAAUAUUGAUGUCUGGUAGUAAUAUUAUAGAAUAUAGAAGUACUACAUAAUACUCUACCAAAUAUAAUAUGCUAAUUGGAUUCUGCAUAUCAGGGCUGAUCGAAUGGCACAACUUCUAGAUGAGCGCUACCUAGGUGUGCUGACAUCUGUCAUGACUCAUGACCCUUUUUGUUUCAUUAGUAUCCAACAAUGCGGAAGCAUAUUGGAAUUGCCUUCCAGAAUGUGUAAGAAUUAAUACUGGAGAGGCUAGCAAGAAAUCAAGAUAUUCCACAGGAAUACACUUACUACGGAAUCCCAUCUCCUUAGCUUCAGGGAUGAUGUGGCUCUGGAAAUCCUCCAACAUGAUCCCUUCACGGUAAAAUAGUUGCAGUUCUCUCAGACUUGCAUUUUAUUCUUCGGCUAAGGAUGUUGUGCAUGUAUUUUCAUCUUUUUACAAAUCUGAUUGUCUCAUGUCUUGUUGACAUUUUGCAUGAUCUUCUGAAUUUUGAAGUCAUGUAUGUUCUGUCCAAUUUCCAUGUAAUAAGUCACAUUGUUAAUAUCUAGGAUCAUAUCAAGUGCCCAGCCAGAGAGUAAUGGGCAGCUUGUUAAGUUUGCUACAGAGAGAGGCUCAAAAACUAGGCUUGAUGUAUGAACUCUUUGUUUUAAUCUUGAUGUAUGAACCCUUUCGUUUAAUCUCGAUGUAUGAGCUCAUGUGAUUGAAUUCUGCUGCUAUAAUGAUAUAUUAUAUAUGUUGUACAAA